CAGCAGUGGGGAAUAUUGCACAAUGGGGGAAACCCUGAUGCAGCGACGCCGCGUGGAGGAAGAAGGUCUUCGGAUUGUAAACUCCUGUUGUUGAGGAAGAUAAUGACGGUACUCAACAAGGAAGUGACGGCUAACUACGUGCCAGCAGCCGCGGUAAAACGUAGGUCACAAGCGUUGUCCGGAAUUACUGGGUGUAAAGGGAGCGCAGGCGGGAAGACAAGUUGGAAGUGAAAUCCAUGGGCUCAACCCAUGAACUGCUUUCAAAACUGUUUUUCUUGAGUAGUGCAGAGGUAGGCGGAAUUCCCGGUGUAGCGGUGGAAUGCGUAGAUAUCGGGAGGAACACCAGUGGCGAAGGCGGCCUACUGGGCACCAACUGACGCUGAGGCUCGAAAGUGUGGGUAGCAAACAGGAUUAGAUACCCUGGUAGUCCACACUGUAAACGAUGAUUACUAGGUGUUGGAGGAUUGACCCCUUCAGUGCCGCAGUUAACACAAUAAGUAAUCCACCUGGGGAGUACGACCGCAAGGUUGAAACUCAAAGGAAUUGACGGGGGCCCGCACAAGCAGUGGAGUAUGUGGUUUAAUUCGAAGCAACGCGAAGAACCUUACCAGGUCUUGACAUCCGAUGCAUAGCACAGAGAUGUGUGAAAUCCUUCGGGACAUCGAGACAGGUGGUGCAUGGUUGUCGUCAGCUCGUGUCGUGAGAUGUUGGGUUAAGUCCCGCAACGAGCGCAACCCUUAUGGUUAGUUACUACGCAAGAGGACUCUGGCCAGACUGCCGUUGACAAAACGGAGGAAGGUGGGGAUGACGUCAAAUCAUCAUGCCCUUUAUGACUUGGGCUACACACGUACUACAAUGGCGUUAAACAAAGAGAAGCAAGACCGCGAGGUGGAGCAAAACUCAGAAACAACGUCCCAGUUCGGACUGCAGGCUGCAACUCGCCUGCACGAAGUCGGAAUUGCUAGUAAUCGCAGAUCAGCAUGCUGCGGUGAAUACGUUCCCGGGCCUUGUACACACCGCCCGUCACACCAUGAGAGCCGGGGGGACCCGAAGUCGGUAGUCUAACCGCAAGGAGGACGCCGCCGAAGGUAAAACUGGUGAUUGGGGUGAAGUCGUAACAAGGUAGCCGUAGGAGAACCUGCGGCUG
rnacentral:rRNA from 1 species